AGCUCAGCUCUGUGAGUUCUACUGUCUAUCAGUUGUUGUCUAUGUGUCUGGGUAGAGGAAAUCCCCCUCCUAAUCUAGUCUACAUAUAAUUUAUAUGAACAAAUAUAAGGUAGCUGCAGUUUGACAGGGUUUUCACCCCCCCCCAGGGCCAGGAGUUUUUUGCAGAAGUUUUUUUAAAUCAUGUGACCUGAUUAGGAAAAACUGGUCCCAUCAUAGCCAAUAUUAAAUAUUUGUACAAGUGAUUGAUCUCUGUCAUACCUAAUAGGGUCCAGCGUUUUCCUAGUUAGGUUAACAUAUAAGGGAAAACUCCAGGCCCCAGGGGGUAAACAUUGCCCCACUGCUCUGGGACCUAUGGUGGCACCAGUCUGCUUGCAGUUGUCAGUUAUCGUCAGUUAUCGUCAUGGCAUAUUCAGGAACGUUUCUUGGGAUACUAUGAUGUGUCAAGUGGGUGAGAUGGAUAGUCUGUGUUUGACUUCAUCAAUUUUGAGAUGUCUGAGUUUAAGUUCAUAGAGAAACUAGUUGUCCAAACCUACGAUGGCGCAGCUGUAAUGGGAUGGAUUUUUAAGAUGGAGCCGACAGAGAUGGUCACCUCGCUUCAGGUCCUUAGGAAACUAUGCAGUAAUUUUUUUAAAUGUAUUAUUUCUGACAUUGUUAUCCCAGAAAAUCUUAAGUGUUAUUACAUACAGCCGGGAAGAACUAUUGGAUAUAAGAGCAACAUCAACUUACCAACAUUACGACCAGGAAUACGACUUUCCCGAAGCGGAUCCUUUGUUCGAACCUUCACCCUGGACAUUGGAUCUAAUCCCAGAGGCCGACCCAAAACAAUGUUGUCGCCGCAGGAGAGGCAGACGGAGCGGCCUCCUGGUCAGACUUAGAAGGCGAGCACACCAUCCACCGCUUCCGAGCAUAUUACUCGUCAAUGUCCAGUCUCUAGACAACAAGGUGGACAAAAUUAGGACAGAAACAAACAUAUCUCUGUUAAGAAGAAGGGCGGGGGUGUAUACCUCAUGAUUAAUGACUCAUGGUGUAAUCAUAACAACAUACAGGAACUCAAGUCCUUUUGUUCACCUGACCUCGAAUUCCUUACAAUCAAAUGCCGACCGCAUUAUCGCCCAAGAGAAUUCUCUUUGAUUGUAGUCACAACCGUGUAUAUCCCAGCCGUGUAUAUAAGGAAGUGUAUAGGAGAUGAUGUACCCACUGUGACAAUUAAAACCUUCUCUAACCAGAGACCGUUGAUUGAUGUCAGCAUUCGCACAAAACUGAAAGCACGUACCACCGCAUUUAAUCAUGACAAGGUGACUGGAAACAUGGCCCGAAUCCAAACAGAGUAGUUAUUCCCUCCGUAAUGCAAUCAAACAAGCACAUCGUCAGUAUAGAGACAAAGUGGAGUCGCAAUUCAAUGGCUCAAACACAAGACAUAUGUGGCAGGGUCUACAGACAAUCAAGGAUUACAAAAAGAAAACCAACCCCGUCGCGGACAUCUAUGUCUUGCUCCCAGACAAAUUAAUCAACCUCUUUGCACGCUUUCAGGACAAUGCAGUGCCACCGACACGGCCCGCUACCAAAGACUGUGGGCUCUCCUUCUCUGUGGCCGACCUAAGUCCACUCCUGUUCCCUGAUUAAGAGGUGAUGACUACUCCACUCCACUACCUUUGUCAACUUUCUCCUGACAUGAACUGAAGCCACAUCUCAUGUGCCAUCUCAUAAACUGGCACAUUGAAUGUUUCCCCUCCAAGCACUUCAAAUCAUGUCCUGCACUGGUCAAGCCUAUGAACACCUCAACUCAUGCCUCAUACCCUCAUUCAAUCACUGCUGUGAUCCCUUUCCCAUGUAAGUAGCCCUCUCAUUCCCAUUCCCCAUAGUAUUGUACUAUAAAUAAAUGUAUAAAAGGCUUUAGGUUAAAUUAUUAUUAUCAAUUAUUAUUGAAACACACUGUCGUCUCCGUGCUUUACGUGCCUAUACCAUGGGUCUCCCAUCCUCCUCAAUUUUUCAAGUCACCAGCGUCCACUGGUCAGAAAUGGGGGAGAGAUGAGUGGCGUUGGAAGAGUAUCCAACCUAACCACACUCUGAGUCACAUGUUUCUUAAUCACACUCUGCAAGAGAUGUGAUGCUAUUAUUACAGAGGACUUCCCUUCCUGUGAUCUGUGGCUAUUCUUUCAAUCAUUGUGCCUUCUUGACAAACCUGAAAUGACAACAAUAUCUCUGCUACUCUCACCGUGAUCUGGGUAUGUAUGACGUUCAAUUCAACUUCAUAGUUGUCUCUAUAUUGUGCACAGUUAGCCGUACUCCCUCUCCUAUGAGCUAUCCCUUAUAACAAUAUACAUAGAGGCAGGGGCGGACUGAAACAAUAAUUCAGGCCGGGAAUUUGAGUCCAUCCCAGGCCACCCUGUUCACGCAAACCACCAGACCACUAAUAUUGUAGGCUAACCCUAUUUGUUGAUGUAACAGGUACCAAACUAGUUAUACAUUUGGGCACUAUGUUCAUCUGGGAAGAAAGUCAUCCACAUUACAAAAUACAAACAUUUGGGGCUGACCAACAGGUAGCCUAUCUGAACACUGAGUUUUCAAGUUAUGCUAUGGCUAUGGGUGCACCCUCAAACUCACUAGGAAUACACCAAUCAUAGCACAUACAAAUAUACAAGGCUAGACACACAAAUCAAUUAGCCUACACUUUUUAAAAAGAGAAUGAGAUAUACAGAUUUAGCUCAAAUGUUCAAAUGAUUAUCUUUAUAUUACAGCAUCAAGCAUAUCAGAAGUAUCAAAAAACUUCACACACACACACAUUCACGGAACUUGAACAGAAGCUACAACAAUGUAAGUAACUAUAAUACAAAAGUCGAAAAAGCACUCCUCUACAAACAUUUUUUGAUUACAAUGUUCCCUCACUGGUGUCCAUAAAGCCAACAGCACACAAUAAACACAUCUAUACACUGAGUCAAUAAAAUUGAACAUUGGCUACAUAACUGCAAGUAUAAUAUGAAAGUCCAAAAAACAUACCUCUGUACACAAGCUUUAACUCACAGCAAAUUUUAUUUCACCCUUGUCAGCCUGUUAAGAGUCAUAGCAUAGCUACUUCAGAGUAACCAGUAAGUAAUUACCACUAGUAACAAUAUAAGCUCAAAAAACUAGCCAUGAUUGUCGGCCGUGUUUUCCAAGUUAUAUGCAGCUUAAUGUCUGUGUGCUCUGUAGCUAAGCCCACAUUUACCAAUAACUUCAACUACAUCAAUCACACGUUCCAUGACCUGCCUCCUCUUUCUGACCUGGUCUCGUUGAACUGACAUUUGCUUAUCACUCAGACGGGUACAGAUGUCUGCUUUGCUGGCUCUGAGGAAAAAGGCUUCUGCACUUUCUCUAUGGGUCUUGCUUCUCUCAUGUUCCUGUACUCUCUGAUGGGCAUGUUUCCAGGCCUGCAUGCCUCCUUUGACAAAUGCACUAUCACUGGCUGAAGGUUUUGCGAACGCAAGACAUACUGAGCAGAACAAGGAGUGAGUUACUUCAUUGUAUGUCAGCCAUUUUCUGUUUGUGCCAUCUUUGGAGUGGAAUACAUUGGGAAUGACUCUUUGAGGGGUUUGUUUUAGGUGGUACUGAAAAAAUAAGUCAAAAUCCUUGGACUGAGGACGGGCAAAAUAAUCAAAUGGAUUUUCAGUGCUUUCGCUGUCCCUUUCUAUUUUCUCUAUACUGGGCUCUGAACCUCUCUCUCUCUGCACAUCUGGCUGCUCUGCAGAAUGAGAUUAACAUUGUAAAUAACCUCAAUUUAAACUUGUAUUACUUGUGCAGUCAUCGAUUGUAUGCCCCCCGAUAACAGUCCUACUGAUCAUCUCAUAAAUAAAGCACAUAUUAAUCUGAAAUCAAAGCCUACAUGUUUAGGUUGGUGCUCUUAAGUUGUACCUGAAGGUUCCUGCUCUGAGUCUGACUGAACUGACCACCAUCUCCAGUUCUGCAGGAGCACCUGAAGCUCUAGUGCUGCUGCUGCUUCCUUCUCCACCUUUACAAAGAAAAUACUCUAUUAUCAUACACACAAUCAUUAGUGUAUCAGUAGGCUACAUUAAUACAGCUCUGGAAAAAAUUAAGAGUGGUCUCUUAAUUUGGAGUGGCCUCUUAAUUUUUCCUAGAGCUGUAUAUUAUAGUAGUAUCUUGUAAUGCUUGUACUAAUGGCGCUAAUGAUCUUUGUCAUUGCUUGUGCUGUGUCACACAGACUACUGUGUUCCGUUCAUGGAUGUAUUAUGGUUACGUUACUGUAGCCUGUUUCGCUGUACAGUGUAUGUGCACUUUCCCCAGCUUAUGUGGUAUGAGUCAUGACCGAAUGCUGGCAAGUCCAUAGUCUAGGUUUACUACUUUUACUGGUUGAAACAUAUUGCCUUCAAGGUCAUAAUAUGAUCGCUAUGUUGCACUCAUUGCUAUGAUAUAAUUCCUCCACGAAGACGUAAGACGUGCAAACUGUUUAGCCUACCGGCCGUUGUGUAACUAUUAUUAGCUAGGCUACUUAGCUAGCCAUGCUGGGUGUCGUGUGUGUGUCAGUGUGUGUGGUUUAGCUAGCCAUGCUGGGUGUCGUGUGUGUGUGUCAGUGUGUGUGGUUUAGCUAGCCAUGCUGGGUGUCGUGUGUGUGUGUGUGUGUGUGUGUGUGUGUGUGUGUGUCAGUGUGUGUGGUUUAGCUAGCCAUGCUGGGUGUCGUGUGUGUGUGUGUCAGUGUGUGUGUGUGUGUGGUUUAGCUAGCCAUGCUGGGUGACGUGUGUGUGUCUGUGUGUGUGGUUUAGCUAGCCAUGCUGGGUGUCGUGUGUGUGUCAGUGUGUGUGGUUUAGCUAGCCAUGCUGGGUGUCGUGUGUGUGUCAGUGUGUGUGGUUUAGCUAGCCAUGCUGGGUGUCGUGUGUGUGUCAGUGUGUGUGGUUUAGCUGGUGUUUUUGACUGACCUGGUCCCUUAAUGGCGAACAUGUCGCUUAUUUUGCUGCGUCUGUGGCAAGGGCCUUUCUCUUUUUUAUUCUCUCCCUCUCUGCUUCACCUUUCCUCUUCUGUCUGUCCAUUUCGCCGUGCGACUUGUCUUAAAUGUUAUCCGUAGAGAGGCAGGUAGACGCUUGCUAUAUGCAUCGCGGAGAGACCUGAUGUCAUUUUGGUGUGUGCACCCUCACGCCGGGGCACUGCAGCGAGUGAGUGAGAGUCGCGCCUGAUGUGUGGAUUCUCCGUCAACUCAUUCCUGCUUGCUAUAUUAUUGCUGGUCAAGUUGGCUAUUCACCGCAGGCCAAAACGACCCGGUGCUCCCGACGGCCAGUCCGCCAUUGCAUAGAGGAGUGGUACAUGACACCAGGCCAGACUUUCUGGUUAUCUCAGAGACUUGGCUGAAUCAUGGUAUUAUGGAUAAUGAUGUUGCCGGUGUUGACUAUAACAUUUUCAGAUGUGAUAGACACAUUGCCCUGGCACAUUACAUCCAUCUGCGGCAAAAGAGAAAAUCUAGUUUGGUUUUUUAGACUCUCAGUGUUAUUACAUUCCUUCCACAGUCCUUUCUGUAACAAAACUACACCUUGAUCUGAACAACCUGCAUCCAAUGCGCUAGACCUGUUAUCUAAUGGCUCCACCCAGAUCGCCUUUGUGGUUAGUGAUCUGUCUAGUAUCCGUGGCGUUAGUACUAACUGUACCCCAAUGCAUUCUCGUGUCUUCAUAUUUGGCAACCCAUUCUAUGCUAGUAGUCAAUCUUUCCUUUUUUACAUGGUUCAGUAACCAUCAAAGCAACCGACACGAAAGACUAUUGCAGGUAAAGUGGCUCCCAUUAUGUAUUAUGUCAUUCUGUAUUAUGUUUCAUGUUUUGUGUGGACCCCAGGAAGAGUAGCUUCUGCUUUUGCAACAGCUAAUGGGAAUCCUAAUCAAAUAUCAAAUACCAAAUACCAGACCCAACCCAACCCAACUGCUUCCUCUUUCUAUUCAGCUCUGCUUCCUCUAUCAUAGCGGCUUCCAGCUCACCCAUUAUGCAGCUGGAUCUGGUUUCACGUGAGAUGUGUGAACCCACUGAGGAGAGGCUGUGGUCUUCACCGCUGCACGUGCUGUAAGGAGUACUGUAUGUGGUCCUGACCUACCCCGUCCCAACACCCCCGCCUGGUGGAUGCUGAUGUACAACUCGGUCUCCAGGAUUCAGUCCGUGCUCUCGGUCUCAGCCUGCUCGGACUUACCUUCCGGGACUUACCCUAUACCAUAACUCUACGACUGGUCAUAAUACAAUGGGACUACUGAAUAAGCUCAGGAUUUUUAGGUCCGUAUUCUAUUAUUGUUCAGUCUACGAUUCUAAUCUGCCCAAGAUGUCAAAAUGAGUGCUAACAGGUGUAGGAACUGUGCCUCCCUUAUUUAUUGUGCCGGCACCUGCUCUACUGAUCUGGACUCUCUGGUUCGACUUUAAAUUGUGGUGAAUGCUGUCGACAAUGGCAACUGUUAAGUUCUAAAUGACAGGGUAAAAACUGACUGACAACUAAUAAAAGCGCAAACCAAGUUUAUUCACCCAAAGGGUCAGACAGCUGAACAGACAAAGACAUAUUCACACAACACUGGUAUUUAACCCUUCCUCCUAUACUGAGUCUCCUCCUUCCCAUCUGAACCGCCAAUACACCUCUGUUGCUAGACACAACUUUAGUGAUAUCUGUUCUUCCACACUUCAUCUGACCUGACCUCUGCCCAAAUUCCUCACUCCUCCCCAACUCACAGCUGUCAUGUUGACUUGUACCAGACUGUCGCCCUCCUCCUUCCCACAGUAUCCCUGAUGUCUAACAAUAACAUAUUAUGACAGAAUGUAAACAAUCUACAUUCCCUCCUUUUUCCCUCAGUGACAUGAAUAA
rnacentral:lncRNA from 1 species